UACGGAGGGUGCAAGCGUUAUCCGGAUUCACUGGGUUUAAAGGGUGCGUAGGCGGAUUGUUAAGUCGGGGGUGAAAUCCUGGAGCUCAACUCCAGAACUGCCUUCGAUACUGGCGAUCUCGAGUUCGGGAGAGGUGAGUGGAACUGCGAGUGUAGAGGUGAAAUUCGUAGAUAUUCGCAAGAACACCAGUGGCGAAGGCGGCUCACUGGCCCGAUACUGACGCUGAGGUGCGAAAGCGUGGGGAGCAAACAGG
rnacentral:rRNA from 1 species